GAUCAUGGCUCAGGAUGAACGCUGGCGGCGUGCUUAACACAUGCAAGUCGAACGAUGAUGCCUAGCUUGCUAGGUGGAUUAGUGGCGAACGGGUGAGUAACACGUGAGUAACCUGCCCCUGACUCUGGGAUAAGCCUGAGAAAUUGGGUCUAAUACUGGAUAUGAGCAUCUAUCGCAUGGUGGGUGUUGGAAAGAUUUUUUGGUUAGGGAUGGACUCGCGGCCUAUCAGCUUGUUGGUGAGGUAGUGGCUCACCAAGGCGACGACGGGUAGCCGGCCUGAGAGGGUGACCGGCCACACUGGGACUGAGACACGGCCCAGACUCCUACGGGAGGCAGCAGUGGGGAAUAUUGCACAAUGGGCGAAAGCCUGAUGCAGCGACGCCGCGUGAGGGAUGACGGCCUUCGGGUUGUAAACCUCUUUCAGUAGGGAAGAAGCGAAAGUGACGGUACCUGCAGAAGAAGCGCCGGCUAACUACGUGCCAGCAGCCGCGGUAAUACGUAGGGCGCAAGCGUUAUCCGGAAUUAUUGGGCGUAAAGAGCUCGUAGGCGGUUUGUCGCGUCUGCCGUGAAAGUCCGGGGCUUAACUCCGGAUCUGCGGUGGGUACGGGCAGGCUAGAGUGCAGUAGGGGAGACUGGAAUUCCUGGUGUAGCGGUGAAAUGCGCAGAUAUCAGGAGGAACACCGAUGGCGAAGGCAGGUCUCUGGGCUGUAACUGACGCUGAGGAGCGAAAGCAUGGGUAGCGAACAGGAUUAGAUACCCUGGUAGUCCAUGCCGUAAACGUUGGGCACUAGGUGUGGGGGACAUUCCACGUUUUCCGCGCCGUAGCUAACGCAUUAAGUGCCCCGCCUGGGGAGUACGGCCGCAAGGCUAAAACUCAAAGGAAUUGACGGGGGCCCGCACAAGCGGCGGAGCAUGCGGAUUAAUUCGAUGCAACGCGAAGAACCUUACCAAGGCUUGACAUGGACUGGAUCGCCGCAGAGAUGUGGUUUCCCUUCGGGGCUGGUUCACAGGUGGUGCAUGGUUGUCGUCAGCUCGUGUCGUGAGAUGUUGGGUUAAGUCCCGCAACGAGCGCAACCCUCGUUCUAUGUUGCCAGCACGUUAUGGUGGG
rnacentral:rRNA from 1 species